rnacentral:rRNA from 1 species
CCAGACUCCUACGGGAGGCAGCAGUGAGGAAUAUUGGUCAAUGGGCUUACGCCUGAACCAGCCAAGUCGCGUGAGGGAAGACUGCCCUAUGGGUUGUAAACCUCUUUUGUCAGGGAGCAACGCCGGCUACGUGUAGCCGGACUGAGAGUACCUGAAGAAAAAGCAUCGGCUAACUCCGUGCCAGCAGCCGCGGUAAUACGGAGGAUGCGAGCGUUAUCCGGAUUUAUUGGGUUUAAAGGGUGCGCAGGCGGCGUGUCAAGUCAGCGGUAAAAUGUCGGGGCUCAACCCCGGCCGGCCGUUGAAACUGGGGGCCUUGAGUGCGCGAGAAGUAUGCGGAAUGCGUGGUGUAGCGGUGAAAUGCAUAGAUAUCACGCAGAACUCCGAUUGCGAAGGCAGCAUACCGGCGCGCAACUGACGCUCAUGCACGAAAGCGUGGGUAUCGAACAGGAUUAGAUACCCCUGUAC